GUCGUAGGAGGUUAUACAGGCAAAUCCGUAUAACAAUACUCCGAGAACUGAAAGGCUUUUUGAAGUCUUCGGAUGGAUAGAAGAACCCCUGAUGCCGUCGAGCCAAGAAAAGUUUCUAAGUUUAGCUAAUGUUGCCCGUACCGUAAACCGACACAGGUGGGUGGGAUGAGUAUUCUAAGGCGCGUGGAAGAACUCUCUUUAAGGAACUCUGCAAAAUAGCACCGUAUCUUCGGUAUAAGGUGUGGUUCGCUUCGUAUUAGGAUUUACUCCGAAAGCGAAGAAACUUACAACAAAGAGUCCCUCCCGACUGUUUACCAAAAACACAGCACUCUGCUAACUCGUAAGAGGAUGUAUAGGGUGUGACGCCUGCCCGGUGCUCGAAGGUUAAUUGAUGGGGUUAGCAUUAGCGAAGCUCUUGAUCGAAGCCCGAGUAAACGGCGGCCGUAACUAUAACGGUCCUAAGGUAGCGAAAUUCCUUGUCGGUUAAAUACCGACCUGCAUGAAUGGCGUAACGAGAUGGGAGCUGUCUCAAAGAGGGAUCCAGUGAAAUUGUAGUGGAGGUGAAAAUUCCUCCUACCCGCGGCAAGACGGAAAGACCCCGUGGACCUUUACUACAGCUUGACACUGCUAUUUGGAUAAGAAUGUGCAGGAUAGGUGGGAGGCUUUGAGUAUAUGACGCCAGUUGUAUAUGAGCCAUUGUUGAGAUACCACUCUUUCUUAUUUGGGUAGCUAACCAGCUUGAGUUAUCCUCAAGUGGGACAAUGUCUGGUGGGUAGUUUGACUGGGGCGGUCGCCUCCCAAAUAAUAACGGAGGCUUACAAAGGUUGGCUCAGAACGGUUGGAAAUCGUUCGUAGAGUAUAAAGGUAUAAGCCAGCUUAACUGCAAGACAUACAAGUCAAGCAGAGACGAAAGUCGGUCUUAGUGAUCCGGUGGUUCUGUGUGGAAGGGCCAUCGCUCAAAGGAUAAAAGGUACCCCGGGGAUAACAGGCUGAUCUCCCCCAAGAGCUCACAUCGACGGGGAGGUUUGGCACCUCGAUGUCGGCUCAUCGCAUCCUGGGGCUGGAGCAGGUCCCAAGGGUAUGGCUGUUCGCCAUUUAAAGCGGUACGCGAGCUGGGUUCAGAACGUCGUGAGACAGUUCGGUCCCUAUCUGCCGUGGGCGUAAGAAGAUUGAAGAGAUUUGACCCUAGUACGAGAGGACCGGGUUGAACAAACCACUGGUGUAGCUGUUGUUCUGCCAAGAGCAUCGCAGCGUAGCUAAGUUUGGAAAGGAUAAACGCUGAAAGCAUCUAAGCGUGAAGCCAACUCUAAGAUGAAUCUUCUCUAAGCUCUCUAGAAGACUACUAGUUUGAUAGGCUGGGUGUGUAAUGGAUGAAAGUCCUUUAGCUGACCAGUACUAAUAGAGCGUUUGGCUUAUCUUU
rnacentral:rRNA from 1 species